GACGAACGCUGGCGGCGUGCUUAACACAUGCAAGUCGAACGGAAAGGCCCUGCUUUUGUGGGGUGCUCGAGUGGCGAACGGGUGAGUAACACGUGAGUAACCUGCCCUUGACUUUGGGAUAACUUCAGGAAACUGGGGCUAAUCCCGGAUAGGAGCUCCUGCUGCAUGGUGGGGGUUGGAAAGUUUCGGCGGUUGGGGAUGGACUCGCGGCUUAUCAGCUUGUUGGUGGGGUAGUGGCUUACCAAGGCUUUGACGGGUAGCCGGCCUGAGAGGGUGACCGGCCACAUUGGGACUGAGAGACGGCCCAGACUCCUACGGGAGGCAGCAGUGGGGAAUAUGGCACAAUGGGCGGGAGCCUGAUGCGGCAACGCCGCGGGCGGGAUGACGGCCUUCGGGUUGUAAACCGCUUUCGCCUGUGACGAAGCGUGAGUGACGGUAAUGGGUAAAGAAGCACCGGCUAACUACGUG
rnacentral:rRNA from 1 species